rnacentral:rRNA from 1 species
UGGGGUCAUGGGCGAGAGCCUGAACCAGCCAAGUAGCGUGAAGGAUGACUGCCCUAUGGGUUGUAAACUUCUUUUAUAAAGGAAUAAAGUCGGGUAUGGAUACCCGUUUGCAUGUACUUUAUGAAUAAGGAUCGGCUAACUCCGUGCCAGCAGCCGCGGUAAUACGGAGGAUCCGAGCGUUAUCCGGAUUUAUUGGGUUUAAAGGGAGCGUAGAUGGAUGUUUAAGUCAGUUGUGAAAGUUUGCGGCUCAACCGUAAAAUUGCAGUUGAUACUGGAUAUCUUGAGUGCAGUUGAGGCAGGCGGAAUUCGUGGUGUAGCGGUGAAAUGCUUAGAUAUCACGAAGAACUCCGAUUGCGAAGGCAGCCUGCUAAGCUGCAACUGACAUUGAGGCUCGAAAGUGUGGGUAUCAAACAGGAUUAGAUACCCUGGUAGUCCACACGGUAAACGAUGAAUACUCGCUGUUUGCGAUAUACAGCAAGCGGCCAAGCGAAAGCGUUAAGUAUUCCACCUGGGGAGUACGCCGGCAACGGUGAAACUCAAAGGAAUUGACGGGGGCCCGCACAAGCGGAGGAACAUGUGGUUUAAUUCGAUGAUACGCGAGGAACCUUACCCGGGCUUAAAUUGCAGAUGAAUUACGGUGAAAGCCGUAAGCCGCAAGGCAUCUGUGAAGGUGCUGCAUGGUUGUCGUCAGCUCGUGCCGUGAGGUGUCGGCUUAAGUGCCAUAACGAGCGCAACCCUUGUUGUCAGUUACUAACAGGUUCCGCUGAGGACUCUGACAAGACUGCCAUCGUAAGAUGUGAGGAAGGUGGGGAUGACGUCAAAUCAGCACGGCCCUUACGUCCGGGGCUACACACGUGUUACAAUGGGGGGUACAGAGGGCCGCUACCACGCGAGUGGAUGCCAAUCCCAAAAACCUCUCUCAGUUCGGACUGGAGUCUGCAACCCGACUCCACGAAGCUGGAUUCGCUAGUAAUCGCGCAUCAGCCACGGCGCGGUGAAUACGUUCCCGGGCCUUGCACACACCGCCCGU